GAAUCCUUAAUAUUUGUUCUUUUGUUUCACUGGAUUCGUUUCCUUUAAAAUAUUUUUCAUCAUCCUCAGUCCUAAAUGAUGAUAUUACUGAAUAUCUUUGGCCUGUAGUGCAAAGAUGAACAGGUGUUGAGAUGAAUAUGACCGACUGAUUAAUAUCUUUGGCCCGUAGUGCAAAGAUGAACAGGUGUUUAGAUGAACAUGAUCAACUGAUGAAUAUCUUUGGCCUGUAGUGCAAAGAUGAAUAUUUGAUUCCAGAUAUAUAUUGAUUGAUGUU
rnacentral:lncRNA from 1 species